rnacentral:rRNA from 1 species
CCUACGGGUGGCAGCAGUGGGGAAUAUUGGACAAUGGGGGAAACCCUGAUCCAGCGACGCCGCGUGAAUGAUGAAGGCCUUAGGGUUGUAAAGUUCUUUCGUCCGUGACGAUGAUGACAGUAGCGGAAGAAGAAGCUCCGGCUAACUUCGUGCCAGCAGCCGCGGUAAUACGAAGGGGGCUAGCGUUGCUCGGAAUUACUGGGCGUAAAGCGCACGUAGGCGGCGAUCCAAGUUAGAUGUGAAAGGCCUGGGCUUAACCCGGGAACUGCAUUUGAUACUGGAUUGCUAGAGUCCAAGAGAGGGUAGUGGAAUUCCCAGUGUAGAGGUGAAAUUCGUAGAUAUUGGGAAGAACACCAGUGGCGAAGGCGGCUACCUGGCUUGGUACUGACGCUCAGGUGCGAAAGCGUGGGGAGCGAACAGGAUUAGAUACCCUUGUAGUC